AUUGAACGCUGGCGGCAUGCCUAACACAUGCAAGUCGAACGGCAGCGCGGGGGCAACCCUGGCGGCGAGUGGCGGACGGGUGAGGAAUACAUCGGAAUCUACCUUCUGGUGGGGGAUAACUAGCCGAAAGGCUGGCUAAUACCGCAUAAGACCGAGAGGUGAAAGCGGGGGACCGAAAGGCCUCGCGCGAGAAGAUGAGCCGAUGUCCGAUUAGCUAGUUGGCGGGGUAAGAGCCCACCAAGGCGACGAUCGGUAGCUGGUCUGAGAGGAUGAUCAGCCACACUGGGACUGAGACACGGCCCAGACUCCUACGGGAGGCAGCAGUGGGGAAUAUUGGACAAUGGGCGCAAGCCUGAUCCAGCAAUGCCGCGUGUGUGAAGAAGGCCUCGGUUGUAAGACACUUUAUCGGUAGCGAAAG
rnacentral:rRNA from 1 species